rnacentral:rRNA from 1 species
UACGUAGGGGGCGAGCGUUGUCCGAAGUUACUGGGCGUAAAGAGCGCGUAGGCGGGUCUUUAAGUGAGGGGUGAAAGGUUCGGGCUCAACCCGAACACUGCCUUUCAUACUGGGGACCUUGAGUGCGGGAGAGGCGAGUGGAAUGGUCGGUGUAGCGGUGAAAUGCGUAGAUAUCUGGAGGAACACCGGUGGCGAAGGCGGCAUCCUGGACCAACACUGACACUGAGGAGCGAAAGCCAGGGGAGCAAACGGG